rnacentral:rRNA from 1 species
GCGAAGUCGCAAGACGAUGUAUAUGGACUGACGCCUGCCCGGUGCUGGAAGGUUAAAAGGAGAGGUGAGAGCUUUGAAUUGAAGCCCCAGUAAACGGCGGCCGUAACUAUAACGGUCCUAAGGUAGCGAAAUUCCUUGUCGGGUAAGUUCCGACCUGCACGAAUGGCGUAACGACUUCCCCGCUGUCUCCAACACCGACUCAGCGAAAUUGAAUUCUCCGUGAAGAUGCGGAGUAGCCGCGGCUAGACGGAAAGACCCCGUGAACCUUUACU